ensembl:lncRNA
AGUGAUGAAAAGAGGGAACAUGUCCUUAAAGGAGUCAUUUGUCAUGACUCUCAGGAUUGGAACCACCCAUCUAAGACCUGAAUGGCCUGUCUGGACAGCUGGCCCACCCUUGAACCGUUCCAGUGACAGGAACUCACUACCAUUGUCAUCUUGAUCCACUCUGACUGUCAGCAAGUUCUAAUGUUAGAUGGAAAAUCUCCUAUCUUCAACCCACUGGUUCUACUGCCAGCCUCAAAACCCUGCAGACCAGACAAAUCCAUCUCACUGGAGGUUAAGGAUGCACAAUAGAAUGACACAUUGAUUCUACCUGGGGAAAUCCAGGGAGACUUCCUGGAGGAAGCAACAUGAUGCUGCAGUUAAUAAGAUUUCUUCACACAGAAUUGGAAAGGUAAGGGCAUUCCAGGCUGAGGGAACUGUGUGGGUGAUUACACAGCAGUAAUCACUCGCAGAUCUGCAAGGAACAUGGGGAAAGCGCGGGAAGAAUGACACCUUGAAAAGUCAGCUGGAAGCAGAUCGUGGAGAGCCUUUCGAGUCGUGCUGGAAACUACGGGAAACGGGCAGCGACUGGAAGUUGAGAAACACAGGAGUGAAAUGAUUAGCACCUUUUAUUUGGGGCUUAUUUCUUUGUUUUGUUGUUAUUUACAACCAGUAAGAACAUUUAGCAAGAUUGUCAAAUACAAGGUAAACAUACAAAACUAGCGUUACUAAACACCAGCAACAAAUAACUAAAAAUGUCAUUUUUAGAGGAAACAAUUUUCAGUAGCAACACAAUUAGAAUAUAACUUGGGAAAAUCUCACAAAAGAUGGGAAGUGUCCUUUUGGAGAAAAUUUAAAAGCUAACUAACGAAUAGAAGAGAAGUUGUAAGCGGAGAGAGAAACCACGCUCGCAAAUGGAGACAGUAAAUGGAUCUAUAAAGUCAAUGCAACUCCGAUGCAAAGCUCUCCAAGGUUAUUUGUGGAAGUUUACAGGCCCGUCAGUCCUCACAUUCACUGGAAGAGACAGGGCUGAGUCUGUCAAGAUAAUUUUGAAGAAGAGAAAGAGUAGAUGUCAAAACCCCCCAGAUGUCAAAACAUUUUCAAACUAAGUGACCUGAGAUUGGCCCAGAUCCAUUAGUUGUGGUUUUAUAUUUCUCUGUCGGGUUAAAGAAAUGGUGUGGAGAAGAGAGACAGGGAAGAUGACAGUGAUGACAAAAGGGAGGUGAGCUCCUCCACGGCUUCUCACCCAAUUUACAUCAGAGUGACCCCGACUCUGAAACAAAGACAGAAGCUAUUUUUGAAAGAACGCUUGCAUCACAGAAGCCUGGCCUGAGGAUAAUAAUUCUGAGCAGUGGGAGUGAAGUCUCAACCAGCCACCUGGCAUCAGCCAAUCAUCUGAUAUGUGUGAAAGACAAAGGCAUCAGAAGAUGAACUUGGACGCCCACUGCCCUGGGUCUCAAACAGCCUGUGACAAAGUUGAGAGGCAGAAGUCACACAUGAAAUAACUAAAGAAGCUACUUCAACGCAGCACCCUCCUAAGUACAAUAAAGUACAAGCACAAAUCCAAAAACUGCUCAGAGUUACACGUAGAGGGGUAAGCACAGGCAGAUGUGCUCAGGGCAUUCUGCGGUGGGUCUGGGAAGUGUGUGGCUAGAGAGGGAGCCACUGCUGUUGACAGUGCUGCCGCUCAUGUUACUGGUCCACCACGACUCAGACGUACAACAGAGCAGCACCAAAACCAUCACCGAGCGCUGCCGAUUGCAUCUAAAUUGUGACAAAUUUAUCAAAAUACAACUUCAAAAUCUGUCCUCCUCUAUAAGAAAUUAGCUCAUGAUCUUGUCUAAGAUUUAAGAAAAUGGUAGACUUGUCUUCCUACUUCUUGUUCUCUUUCUUGUGUGUUUUAUGAUGCUGUAACGAGCUAGGAAUUUCCUCCCCCUGGGAACUCUUUAUUUUGGGCUUUAGAUCAGUCACGACUGUUGCUUGUGAGGUGCAGAUCACCAACAUGGAAGGAAGAGAGGUUAAUACCAGGCUGAGGAUGUGAUUCCUCUCACUGAGAAGCUUACUAGCUUAUUGUUCAUAGAAUGGUGAGUCCCAGGAGGAUCUGAAAAGAAAUAUAUACUGGAGCCUCAGGAUGUUCUCUUGCAGAGGCAUUUCCUACACUGUGCAUCAUUAGAACUAUAAACUUAGCUCACACAUGAACCUACUAGAGUUUUCUAAACAUUUAUAUCACACUAGCUCACAGAACUAACUUUAUAUAUCCAGGAACUAAGAUUCCAACCAGAAGUACCUCAGCUGGGUGUUGGCUCAUUCAUAUUCCAACCAAAAGGUAAUGUACCAUAAAAUGCAUAUUGAUAAGUCUGCAAUGAUUAAGGCAACCACAUAAAAUCUCAUUACUUAAAAGAAAUUAAACUCACUGUGGUUUAUAGAGCAAUAUUCCUCAUCCAUGUCCAACAUCAGGUCGUUCACAUGCCAGUCACAGUUCAAUCUAAUUUGCUGUAAUUUGGUAAAUGGGAGGUAAUCAACAAGUCCUCAGCUCCAGCUCUGAAGCAGCACACAAUACAUUCCUGAAAUACAUUAAUAAAGAGAGGAUGGGGGAAAGGCUUCCUGACAAUAACUGAC